rnacentral:rRNA from 1 species
AUUGAACGCUGGCGGCAGGCCUAACACAUGCAAGUCGAGCGUGAAAGCACUUCGGUGUGAGUAGAGCGGCGGACGGGUGAGUAACGCGUAGGAAUCUACCCAGUAGUGGGGGACAACUCGAGGAAACUCGAGCUAAUACCGCAUACGCCCUAAGGGGGAAAGCGGGGGAUCUUCGGACCUCGCGCUAUUGGAUGAGCCUGCGUCGGAUUAGCUAGUUGGUGGGGUAAAGGCCCACCAAGGCGACGAUCCGUAGCUGGUCUGAGAGGAUGAUCACCCACACUGGGACUGAGACACGGCCCACACUCCUACGGGAGGCAGCAGUGGGGAAUAUUGCGCAAUGGGGGAAACCCUGACGCACCCAUGCCGCGUGUGUGAAGAAGGCCUUAGGGUUGUAAAGCACUUUCAAUGGGGAGAAAAGUCUUACGGUUAAUAACUGUGAGAGUUGAUGUUACCUAUAGAAGAAGCACCGGCUAACUCCGUGCCAGCAGCCGCGGUAAUACGGAGGGUGCAAGCGUUAAUCGGAAUUACUGGGCGUAAAGCGCGCGUAGGCGGUUUGUUAAGUCAGCUGU